rnacentral:piRNA from 1 species
UCAAAACAGGUGAAAGAGGUAAUGAAACUAA